rnacentral:lncRNA from 1 species
UACCUGGAUGUGUGGCUGGGGCAAGCUUUUCUUUUAGAAUGAGAUAAUUUCAUCCCGCCCCCAUGGCUUUGGGAAAUCUCAGAACUGGGGUCAGAAGUCUGUUUGCCAACUUCAGCAUCUGCCCAUGUACAGCUCCUGCAGCACAGCAUUUGUCUUUCUUUGCAAACCCUCUUGCAGAGCCACGUGGCUCUGUUGACAACCUAAAUGUCUUUUUGUGGUUUGCUAAGGUUAAGUGGCCCUUUCCACGGAGGAUUGUUAUUUGGCAUUAGGAAUGCAUGCUCUGAAGGUUGAGGCCAGCUGUCCUGGGACACGGCGCCUGCUAGCUUCCACACCUCUGCUGCAGCAGAGGCAGCCUGGGCCUGGGGAUGCCUGCAGACCUCCUCAGUGGCUCCCUUGUCUUCUCACCUCAGCACCUUUGAGCUUGGGACCUGUCACACCCUUUGAGCCACCGGGGCUGCCUCUGGCAGUGGGAGAUCAGAGGCUUCCAGGAGGGGUCUCCUGCUGAGGGACCCAUGUGCUGACUGAGACCCAGCCCCAGGGCCACAGGCAACGUCAGCCAACCACUCCAGGGAAGGACUCCCCAUGGGACUUUUGACAGCCAUAUUCCCCCUUCCUUCCCCAGACCCCGGUGGCCAGGGCUUGGGAGAUGCCUCCCUGUGGCUCAUGGGCCUCUGGCUUGCAGCAGCCGCCACCCGGCCACGGGCCCCUGACACUGACUUGUGUCCAGCAUCUUUGACUUAUUUUUCCCCCAUGAAAAGCAGCAUGAAUAUUUCCUUCUAGUCUUUCUGAAGAGGGGAGGAAAAACUGUUCAUGUGUGUGUGCGUGUGCAUGUGUGUUGAGUGAGAGAACACUCAGAGGUCGUGCCCAGGAUAAGGUGAGCCCCUGCUUUGUCCUGGAUCUGCCGGCACACUGAGGACAGCCUGGACCCUCUGCCCAGGCGUCUAACUCGGGAAAGGCUGCCAAGUCUUUCUAGAAAUGCUCUGUGCUGCCUGGCUCGUCUGCAGUGGCAGAUGCCUCUUCAGAGGCAGGGUGUGUGCCUGCUGCUCCUUCCGGGGCACCUGCCUCCUCCAGUGCAGGUCUGCGGCGUGUCAGAACCCUAAUGCAUCUGUGUGUGUGUCUGUGUCGGUGUCUGUGUCGCUGUACUCGUGGGCGUCUGCACGGUACGGUCGCUGCUCUGCAGUGCAUCACUCUUUCAGAGAGGGUGUAGAUGUGGCGCCAUGCUGCGUGUCAUUGUUCAACUGUGGCUUUUUCUUAGAUAAUUGUGCUUCCUCAGCGCCGUCGGGUUGUGGCAUCCUUGGAUCUGCAAGGACCUUCUCCGUUUGCAUGUUCCUUGCGGUGGCGUGUUCCUUGCUCCCUCGGUCCAACGUGUGUUCCCCUGCCUGCAUGGACUUUUCCAGUUCUGUGUCAUGUGCUGAGUGCCACCCAGUAUUCUGUGACCACCCAUGUAGCUACCGAAAAUGUCUGGGUAAGUAAGCCAGGGUUGUUGGAGGGGGCUGAGAGAGGCCAGUGUCCCUCUCCCCCCACCCCAAACACGCCAAGAAGCGACUCUAACAUGUAGGUUGAGAACAAGCCCCAGUGAUACCGUGGUUGGGAGAACGAGAGCUUGGAAUCACCUUUCCAGACUGGGUCGAGCCCCACCCUCACUCCAGCCACCUGGGAGCCAUUCUUGGCUGGGCCCAGAGCGCCUGUGCCCAGUGCGCUCCUGCUGGCACCUGCCACCAGCCCCUGCCCCUGCGGACACGGACCCCAGACCACCGCCGCCUCGUGGCAAGGUGGGAGCUGUCCGUUCAGGACCACAAGCCAUCCUCUGCCCUAGCUAGAGAGGGCGGAGCACACCCCAGAUGCUUAUGCCUUCGACCCUUCAGCCUCCCAGCCCCUUCCCCAUCCUUCCCCUGCCCCCUGACGCACCCACGGUGCCCGGGACAGAAGCUGACUUUUAGCUCUCGCCCUAGCCCUAACUGGAGUCUGUGCCAAGGUCCUCAGCUCCCUCACUGUGUUCAUACUUGGCACUUUGCUGGCCCGAGAAAGGCAGACGACAGAGCAGCAAAUCUAAUCCACAUAGUUCCCAUUGACUCCUUAAUCUGAUUGAUGUUCCCUCUUGCACUGAAUAAUACAUGCCUCUCUCAGGUAAGCCGUUUUAUAAAAUAAGAAGAUAAAAAAGCACUGUUGAGACAGUGUUGCUUUUGCCGAGCUGGUGUCCGACAGCUCCCUGGGGGUCUGGGGUGGGAGAGCUGCCACGGAGGGCCCCAGGGCCUGGGGGCUUCGAUCCCACUUGAAUCGUAAAGCCUUCUUGCUUUUGAUAACACAGUAUUAUUUCUCUUACUGUAGAAGACAAAGUUUAUUACCAAACAAGAGUAUUUUUAUGAAAGAAUAGGACAAACCUAUAAAUUAUCUCAACCUAUAUCUCCCUUGGAAACACUUUCAGGCUCCACCAAAACGUCGGACUGAAAGCUUGUAUUUUGGAAGAAAGAGAUACAUUUUGUAUGCUUUCUUUUCCUUUUGUAGAUUCCCAGUUUAUUUUGUAAGACCGCAAAGAUCUCUUUGUCACCAGCCCUGGGACCUGAGACCAAGGGGUGUCUUGUGGCAGCGAGGGCAGGGGAGAGGCUUGGCAUGAGGUCCGAAGUCCUUGCAGCAAGCUCCAGCGAGGGCCCACCUGUUCUGAAGGUGCGCUGGGGACCAGGAGGCCCGAAAGGCUGCUCUGGGUGGGCCCUUUGUCUGGGAGCAGAUCGGUGAUGGGGGAUGGGCCGAGGGUUUGGAUGUCACUUCCAACCUGGUUAGAAGCCGUGAGGAUGGAGGACUCUGUGACCUCGGCGCCACCACCGUGUGGCUGGAAGGAGUCGUGGUUUUGUCUCUUCAAACAGCACGUAAAUUUAUUCCGCCAACGACGGGAAUCUAUCGCUUCUGUGCACAGUGGGCUGAAGUACGAUUUAUUAAAAGGGGAACAAGUCAUUGAGGAGAAAAAAAAGCCCAAUACUUAGAGUCCCAAUUUUGUCUUAUUUGCCAAAAAAAAAAGCAAACCCCUCAAGUUGAUAUUGUUACAAUGUAUAUACUGUAAAAUAUGAAAGAGAAUUGAUGUAUCUUACUUUUUCAUUAUUUGCUAACCAAAGCUGUACAUUUUUCAUAUGAUCUGCAGCCUUUUGGGUAUCAAAUGGGUCAAAACCAUGGGACCUGCCACCUCCCAUCAGCAGUUCUGGAAAUGCACUAUUUCUACUGGUAUUCUUGCUUUCUUUUUUCUUUUUUCAUUUUCUUGCUGAAAUGACAUGAAUUGUUGAGUUUAUUUUUACACAGUAAAGAGUGAAGAAAGACUGCAGGCCCCUUGGACUGUCUUUGCUCUUCCGGCGCCCUCAGCCUGUCCGGCUGCACCUCGCUCACCUUCUGGACCUCACCUGCCAGGGACCUCAUGCUUUGCGCUUCCGUUGCACUGCACCCCUGGGGAACCCUACAGAGCCCUGGGAUUAGGGAGGGAUCCCCAUUUCCCACGGGCAGUUGACACAAGCCUAGAGGAGAAGUGAUUUUCCAGGUGACUGGGUGCAGAAUAACUCCUAGCUCCCACCCCUGCCCUCCUGGGGGAAUGAAGGCUAGGCCCCAGCGGCCUGGGCUUGGGGUUCCCAAACAGCCCUGGCUGUUCUCCCUUGCCACAUCCCACCAACAGGUCCCCCGCACCCCUUCCCUGCACUGAAGGUUGAGGGUGUCCCUAUGGCCAUGUGACAAAGGCCAUGAGUAUCUGUGGGAAUCCUGGGCUAGGAAGAUCCCACUUCCCUGACCCAGUUCUACUCUGUAUACCUGGAACUUAAAAGCUGCUCCCUUCCAAGGUCCAGAUUCCCUGGUUUUAGAGAUCCCAGGACACUCAAAGUGAGGUCAGGGAACACAGCCAAAAUAACCUGGCAAGUUGAGAUGUGCACGCACGUACACAUGGCUAGCAGAAGGAACUGGCCACUCCAGCUUCCUGUUGGCAGAGCCCAGGGAUUUCCUGCCCAGUGCCUGGUGUUCCCUGGCCAGAACUGAGGAGUGGGGCUUUGGUGGGGAGGUGGGGUUCGCCUACCGUGUGUGUGCAUCGUGGGAUUCUGGGCCACCCCCUCCUUCUGCCUCUGCUCAGGACAGUGCAUCAUUAUGUGUGUG